UAAGGAAUCUUCCGCAAUGGACGAAAGUCUGACGGAGCAACGCCGCGUGAGCGAAGAAGGCCUUCGGGUCGUAAAGCUCUGUUGUUAGGGAAGAACAAGUACGAGAGUAACUGCUCGUACCUUGACGGUACCUAACCAGAAAGCCACGGCUAACUACGUG
rnacentral:rRNA from 1 species